AAGAGCUAAGAAUGAGUCAGAAACUUACAAAAGACUUUUUUGGACAAAAUUUUAUGCAAUGCUGAGUUUAAAAUGAAAAGAUUUUACUCAUGGAUCCAAUCCAACAUGUAAAACAUGCUUCACUGGAGAAUCUCAAAGGGUCUAUUCAUGUUUCUCAGUUGAGAAUUGACAACAGAACUCCAUUUAGCAAUUAUUCAAACACACAUUAAGCAAGAUAAAAAAAGCAGUAAAUCAUUUUCUUUGAGUCUAACCUCGAAAAGAAGCUUGUUGGCAA
rnacentral:misc_RNA from 1 species